rnacentral:rRNA from 1 species
GACGAACGCUGGCGGCGUGCUUAACACAUGCAAGUCGAACGGAAAGGCCCUGCUUUUGUGGGGUGCUCGAGUGGCGAACGGGUGAGUAACACGUGAGUAACCUGCCCUUGACUUUGGGAUAACUUCAGGAAACUGGGGCUAAUACCGGAUAGGAGCUCCUGCUGCAUGGUGGGGGGUGGAAAGUUUCGGCGGUUGAGGAUGGACUCGCGGCUUAUCAGCUUGUUGGUGGGGUAGUGGCUUACCAAGGCUUUGACGGGUAGCCGGCCUGAGAGGGUGACCGGCCACAUUGGGACUGAGAUACGGCCCAGACUCCUACGGGAGGCAGCAGUGGGGAAUAUUGCACAAUGGGCGGAAGCCUGAUGCAGCAACGCCGCGUGCGGGAUGACGGCCUUCGGGUUGUAAACCGCUUUCGCCUGUGACGAAGCGUGAGUGACGGUAAUGGGUAAAGAAGCACCGGCUAACUACGUG